rnacentral:tRNA from 1 species
GGGGCUUUAGCUCAGUUGGUAGAGCAUUUGUCUGGCAGACAAAAGGUCAGGGGUUCAAGUCCCCUAAGCUCCACCA